GAUGAACGCUAGCUACAGGCUUAACACAUGCAAGUCGAACGGGGUAAAGAGCUUCGGUUUUUACUUAGUGGCGAACGGGUGAGUAACGCGUGAGAAACCUGCCUUUCAGUGGGGGACAACAGUUGGAAACGACUGCUAAUACCGCAUAACGUAUUUUUGGGGCAUCCUUUAAAUACCAAAGCUUUAUGUGCUGAAAGAUGGUCUCGCGUCUGAUUAGCUAGAUGGCGGGGUAACGGCCCACCAUGGCGACGAUCAGUAGCCGGUCUGAGAGGAUGAACGGCCACAUUGGGACUGAGAUACGGCCCAGACUCCUACGGGAGGCAGCAGUGGGGAAUAUUGGGCAAUGGGGGAAACCCUGACCCAGCAACGCCGCGUGAAGGAAGAAGGCCUGGUGUAACUCUUACUAGGACGAAGAACGUAGACGGUACCGU
rnacentral:rRNA from 1 species